CGGGCGGGCAGGGGCUGCCCCCGACUCCAGAACCUCUCCGGAUCCAGCAGCAAGAUCCCAAAGCAAGGAAAGAAAGAAAAAGCGAGGGGGCGGGGGCGCUGCAGAAUCCAGCGUCCUCCCAAGUCCUCCUGUGGGAAGACAGCAGCGCUGCUACUGGUGGAGAGGGGCUGCGAGAGGGAGGCGCGGAGGGACCCCUUGGCUCUCCGCCGGGUCUGGCGCUAACGGCCCCGCGAGCAAGCUCGGGAGGCGGCCGCUGCACCGCGGGUGGAGGAGCGGGAGGAGCGUCCCCGCGGGGCUGCACGACCUCCUGGAGGGGGUGAUGCUCGUUCACCUCUCUUCAGCUUUGUGAAAUACCGCAAGGUCUUUGGAGAUGAGCCAGGAAAAUCCAUUCACGUGCGGAAAUUUGCCGGGCUACGCGCGUUGCUGCUGAUGCCUAGGGUUCGGAGUGAAAGGAGGGGAGAAAGCGAAGGGAUUCCUCCUCCUGCUCCCAGCUGCUGCGUUGAUGUGCUGGGGUGUAUCGAACAGCGGCAACAAAAAGCGCUUUCACUGCAAGGCAGACAUCAAUAGGAGCCCACGGAGAUGGAGGGGUGCUGCACAUAGGUGUUUGGCAUGUGAGACAGUCCAUAAGAAAGAAUCAAUUCGGAGGGCUGCUGCCUGACUGCAGUUUGAUCAUGGCGGGUGGGGGCGGGUGGAAUUCCUAAAACUCCAGCCGAGCAUGUUUAACUUAUUUUUCUUCAGUAAUUUGGAGUCACGGUCCCUCCCAGUUCUUCGCUGUCACCGGAAUUACUCCGUUUGGCUCUCCCAAGGCUCCUGUCAAGAAGGCCUAAGAAGUAGAAUGGCCUUCAUUUUCAGGAUAAGGAAGCUGAGGUUCAGGGUUUAAAAUGAUUUCUCUGAGGUCAGUGGCAAGUGGCAUAUGGAAAUAGAACGUGGGUCUCCUGCGUGUGUCUAUAGCUAGUGGCGUCCUCACUGCAUGGCCUGCAGAAAUCCCACCCAACACAGCCGGGCCGGUUUGGCCUUCCUACAUAUAAAGAUGGUGCGAUUGAAAUCAAACAGAGUGUACCAUGACGAAUAGAACCAUGAUAGGGUCUGGAAGACCCCAAGUAAACAGUUGGCACUUAGUUUAGACACUUUUUGCUGUCUAGCUGGCCUACUAGCUGAGUGCCUGACCUUCUGUAACUUACCAGGAAGAAGGGCUGUGCUUCCCAGGCAGGUCCCAGGGAAGUGCUUGCAAAGCAGAAGGAAAGCUCCAGACUGUUCUGCCCUAGCCUAUGAUAAAUAAUUUCUGAGCCCAUCUUGUCUGGGUUGUCUGCCUUUCUCGGGCUUGUUCACAAAUAAAUCUCUCUCCGACUGUGCGUUCUGGUGCAACUGAGAGCUCUGGGGCGAAUGGCUCUCCAGCUUUUCUGACAGCUCCUCUUCUCCCAGUCCUACCCCUGAACCCCCCACCUGUUAAAAGGCAUUGGCUCAUCUGUGAAUUUCCCUAACUUCCUCUUCAGAUUCUGAAACGUGAGAGUGAAAUUUCAGACUAACACCCAGCCACCCCAACAACUCCCUAGAGCUAGCCUUCUGUCCCAACUUCCCUGUGCCAUCCACAACUCAUACAUUAAACUCUGCAGAUUAGUGCAUCCUAAACAUAGAAAACAACGAAGCCAUUAGACCUCUUCCCAUUCUCUCGAAUAGCCUAAUGUGCCUCUGAAUAUAACACAACCUUGGAAAUGUAUUCUGCACCAGCAUCAUGCCAGGAUGGGGAAGAGGAAAGAAGUCAAGGCCUCCCUUUAAGAAAAGGUUUUUCUUAGGAAGCAGUGCACCCCUCUCCCCUAAGUUACUGAAGUCUGGUUCAUCCUGUUGGAAAUUUUAAAUUUGGUUAAAAUGCCUUGUGUUUGCUGGAAUAAAAUUCAUGUUGUUACUGAAUUGUACUAAAAACAUCACUAACCUUUGUUAGUGGGGAACUUUUG
rnacentral:lncRNA from 10 species